rnacentral:rRNA from 1 species
GAUGAACGCUGGCGGCGUGCCUAAUACAUGCAAGUCGAGCGAACAGAUGAGAAGCUUGCUCCUCUGACGUUAGCGGCGGACGGGUGAGUACCACGUGGAUAACCUACCUAUAAGACUGGGAUAACUUCGGGAAACCGGAGCUAAUACCGGAUAAUAUAUUGAACCGCAUGGUUCAAUAGUGAAAGACGGUUUUGCUGUAACUUAUAGAUGGAUCCGCGCCGCAUUAGCUAGUUGGUAAGGUAACGGCUUACCAAGGCAACGAUGCGUAGCCGACCUGAGAGGGUGAUCGGCCACACUGGAACUGAGACACGGUCCAGACUCCUACGGGAGGCAGCAGUAGGGAAUCUUCCGCAAUGGGCGAAAGCCUGACGGAGCAACGCCGCGUGAGUGAUGAAGGUCUUCGGAUCGUAAAACUCUGUUAUUAGGGAAGAACAAAUGUGUAAGUAACUAUGCACGUCUUGACGGUACCUAAUCAGAAAGCCACGGCUAACUACGUG